GGGGGUAUGGCUCAAGCAGGAAAGCACUUGCCUAGCAAGCAUGAGGCCUUGAAGCCCUGAGUUCAAAUCCCAGUACUAUUU
rnacentral:tRNA from 1 species